GACGAACGCUGGCCGCUUUCUUCCCCCCUUCACUUCUACCUUCCCUGCCCUGCUUUUUUUUUUUUCUCUAUUGGCGAACGGGUGAGUAACACGUGAGUAACCUGCCCUUGACUUUGGGAUAACUUCAUUAAACUGGGGCUAAUACCGGAUAGGAGCUCCUGCUUCAUUUGUUGGGUUGGAAAGUUUCGGCGGUUUGUGAUGGACUCGCGGCUUAUCAGCUUGUUGGUGGGGUAGUGGCUUACCAAGGCUUUUCCUUUUAGCCGGCCUGAGAGGGUGACCGGACACAUUGGGAAUGAGAUACGGCCAAGAAUCCUACGGGAGGAAGAAGGGGGGAAUAUUGAAAAAUGGGAGGAAGCAGGAUGCAGCAACGCCGCGUGAGGGAGGAAGGAAGGAGGGUUGUAAACCGCUUUAGCAGGGGACGAAGAGUGAGUGAAGGGAAUGGGUAAAGAAGCAAAGGAGAAAGAAGGG
rnacentral:rRNA from 1 species